rnacentral:lncRNA from 1 species
GGUGGGUAGGGCAGCACUCACUGCCUGUGAUCAUCAGUGUCCUUGUUCUGCUCCCUCCUCUCACCCACCCCACCCCUGCCAAGGCCUCCCUAGCCCUUCAACUGUGAGGCUUUGGGAGGUCUCAGGCUCAGCAUAUCUCUUUCAAAGAAGACUUCCUGACAGAAGACCAUCUGUUCCUCUUUACCAUGAAGUCAUAGUACUAUAUUUGUGACAGCACAAUCAUUUCCAUGGCAACAGGAUGUGGUCCUCAUCACUGAAUCCUGAUUUCACUCUGACAAAGAUCAAGCAGCAGGGGAUUGGCGUUGCGUCCAUGUAGACCUGAGACCCCCUGGCUAUGUGUCUCAGGAUGUGUCCUUCAGUUCUGCCUCCUGAGCCUCAAGACAGUCUCACUCUGUUGCCCAGGCUGGAGUGCAGUGGCGC